UCCCUGGUGGCUUAGAUGGUAAAGCAUCUGUCUACAAUGCAGGAGACCCGGGUUUGAACCCUUGGUCGGGAA
rfam:TPA: Bos taurus chromosome 1, whole genome shotgun sequence.